UGGGGGAUAUUGCACAAUGGGCGAAAGCCUGAUGCAGCGACGCCGCGUGGGGGAUGAAGGCCUUCGGGUUGUAAACUUCUUUUGCUCUGAACAAGGCGCACCAUGGGGUGUGUUGAGUGUAGGGGUUGAUUAGCGCCGGCUAACUACGUGCCAGCAGCCGCGGUAAUACGUAGGGCGCGAGCGUUGUCCGGAAUUAUUGGGCGUAAAGGGCUUGUAGGUGGCUGGUUGCGUCUGUCGUCAAAGCUCAUGGCUUAACUGUGGGUUUGCGGUGGGUACGGGCUGGCUUGAGUGCAGUAGGGGAGGCUGGAAUUCCUGGUGUAGCGGUGGAAUGCGCAGAUAUCAGGAGGAAUACCGGUGGCGAAGGCGGGUCUCUGGGCUGUGACUGACACUGAGGAGCGAAAGCAUGGGGAGCGAAGAGG
rnacentral:rRNA from 1 species